AUGCUCACUUCAGCAGUACAUAUACGAAAAUUAAAACAAUACAGAGAAGAUUAGGAUAGCCCCUGCGCAAUGAUGACACCCAAAUUCGUGAAGCAUUCCAUAUUUUU